rnacentral:tRNA from 1 species
GGUUCCGUAGUACAACGGAUAGUAUGAGGGUUUCCGGAGCCCUAGAUUCAGGUUCGAUUCCUGACGGGACCA